rnacentral:rRNA from 1 species
UCGGAUUUAUUGGGCGUAAGCGAGCGCAGACGGUUAUUUAAGUCUGAAGUGAAAGCCCUCAGCUCAACUGAGGAAUGGCUUUGGAAACUGGAUGACUUGAGUGCAGUAGAGGAAAGUGGAACUCCAUGUGUAGCGGUGAAAUGCGUAGAUAUAUGGAAGAACACCAGUGGCGAAGGCGGCUUUCUGGACUGUAACUGACGUUGAGGCUCGAAAGUGUGGGUAGCAAACAGGAUUAGAUACCCUGGUAGUCCACACCGUAAACGAUGAGUGCUAGAUGUUCGAGGGUUUCCGCCCUUGAGUGUCGCAGCUAACGCAUUAAGCACUCCGCCUGGGGAGUACGACCGCAAGGUUGAAACUCAAAGGAAUUGACGGGGACCCGCACAAGCGGUGGAGCAUGUGGUUUAAUUCGAAGCAACGCGAAGAACCUUACCAGGUCUUGACAUCCCUUGCUAAUCCUAGAAAUAGGACGUUCCCUUCGGGGACAAGGUGACAGGUGGUGCAUGGUUGUCGUCAGCUCGUGUCGUGAGAUGUUGGGUUAAGUCCCGCAACGAGCGCAACCCUUAUUAUUAGUUGCCAGCAUUUAGUUGGGCACUCUAGUGAGACUGCCGGUGACAAACCGGAGGAAGGUGGGGAUGACGUCAAAUCAUCAUGCCCCUUAUGACCUGGGCUACACACGUGCUACAAUGGCAUAUACAACGAGUCGCCAACCCGCGAGGGUGCGCUAAUCUCUUAAAGUAUGUCUCAGUUCGGAUUGUAGGCUGCAACUCGCCUACAUGAAGUCGGAAUCGCUAGUAAUCGCGGAUCAGCACGCCGCGGUGAAUACGUUCCCGGGUCUUGUACACACCGCCCGUCACACCAUGAGAGUUUGUAACACCCAAAGCCGGUGGGGUAACCUUUUAGGAGCCAGCCGUCUNANGNGGGACAGAUGAUUANGGUGAA